GCUCUGGUGGCUUAGCGGUAAAGCGCAUCACUAGUAAUGAUGAGAUCCCCGGUUCAAGUCCGGGUCGGAGCU
rfam:Pyronema omphalodes CBS 100304, CBS100304, WGS project CATG01000000 data, contig: Pcon_v1_contig190